rnacentral:rRNA from 1 species
GACGAACGCUGGCGGCGUGCUUAACACAUGCAAGUCGAACGAAGAGCGAUGGAAGCUUGCUUCUAUCAAUCUUAGUGGCGAACGGGUGAGUAACGCGUAAUCAACCUGCCCUUCAGAGGGGGACAACAGUUGGAAACGACUUCUAAUACCGCAUACGAUCUAAUCUCGGCAUCGAGGAUAGAUGAAAGGUGGCCUCUACAUGUAAGCUAUCACUGAAGGAGGGGAUUGCGUCUGAUUAGCUAGUUGGAGGGGGAACGGCCCACCAAGGCGAUGAUCAGUAGCCGGUCUGAGAGGAUGAACGGCCACAUUGGGAAUGAGACACGGCCCAGACUCCUACGGGAGGCAGCAGUGGGGAAUCUUCCGCAAUGGACGAAAGGCUGACGGAGCAACGCCGCGUGAGGGAUGACGGCCUUCGGGUUGUAAAGCUCUGUUAAUCGGGACGAAAGGCCUUCUUGCGAAUAGUGAGAAGGAUUGACGGUACCGGAAUAGAAAGCCACGGCUAACUACGUG